GCGCGGGUGGCGGAACUGGCAGACGCGCACGGCUCAGAACCGUGUGACCGCAAGGUCUUAUGGGUUCAACUCCCUUCCCGCGCA
rfam:Elusimicrobia bacterium CG1_02_56_21 cg1_0.2_scaffold_1366_c, whole genome shotgun sequence.